GAUAGGAGUGGCCAGCAGAACACAGGGAAGGGCUCAGAAGCACAGCUCCCAAGGAACAGCAACAGUGAAGAGUCAGAGGGCUCAAAAAGAGGGUAGGUGCUGUUAGGAAGGAGCAGAGUUCUUUCUUUGGCCAUUCAGGAGUGGAGAAGUACUUUAAUGGUUUGGGGGAUGGUUAAGGGAAGUGAGAUGGGUUCAUCGAUCUUUCUCAGUUUAGUUUGGCAGUCAUAUGUGAGGGCCAUCCACGUUUGCCCUCUCUGCAGCUGAUGGGAGGUAUGAUGAAGUUGAGACACAAGGUAUGGAUCAUCUUGACCUUUGUGCAGCAAUCAUCUGGUUUGAACAUCAGAUGAGUUUGAUCUUGAAAAGCAUCAACUACACUCAAAACGUAAUCUCUAGGGCUCUGAGAUCUCUCCUUCCUUGUGCCUUCUACUUCCCUUGUUCCCCCACUGACUUCUUUGGAUGCGUCAUGUCUCCAUCCAUCUGAAUGUCAGAGACCUCACUACUUAAAGGUAUGGACUCAGUGCUUUUCUGCAAUGCAGAAUUCUGUCCCUACUUUCCUUUGUGUUUGUCAGGGAAGAGGAUGGAUGUUAUCUUGGCUUGUGACAGUUAGAAGCAGAGCAACUCUUUUUCAUCUAGUCUGUGGGCACGCAAGCCUCCCUUACUACCAGAGUCUUGGAUUUUUCCUUAACUUACCAGUGAGGCUUGCUCUAGUAUCAUUUGCAGUAGUUGUUACCUCAUCCUUGUUAUCAGUUGUGGUUUUUAUGGUCAUUGAGUUUCCAAUUUAGGUCUUUGAGUAGUCGAAUCCCACCAUUGUGAGUUUUUUCCAUUGGCUGAUGGUCUCUGUAAUUCCUGUCUCCAUUGCUGCAUGCUAGGUAAUCUGCAAACAUCUGGAUCCCUGUGGCUCAUCUUUCUGUCGUCCUGGGUAUUGCCACUACUGCAUUCCUACAAUGGGAGUGGUGAAGAGGAGAGGUGCUGUGUGGGCCACCUUGGGAACGGGAAGAGCAUUUCAGAUCAGCGGAGUAGUACAGAGAAGAAGCACAAGACAGACUUCUCACAAGAACGACAGUAAUUCUCUGGAGUUACUUGUCCCAGAUGGCGAAGAGGAACCUGGUGACUGCAGGAUCAUCCCACAUAGCUGAUGCUGUUGGAGGGGUUUUUUUUUUCCUACUGAGGAUAACUCUUGGCCUUCUGAAG